rnacentral:lncRNA from 1 species
AGGGGAACAAGCUAUUGCAAUUAUAAAUGUUUUAACAUUAUUCAUCUUUUUCUCCCUAGUACUUAGAAGAAUGUCUGAUAUAUAAUCAGUAUCCAAACAUUAUUUGAUGCACAAAUGACUCACCCACUGCUCAGCCAACCUGGAUGAGGAGCCUGGAGAAAUUCUGCUGAUGUCCUUCUUCCUAAGUGAAGAGCUAUCCAAUUUGCUCUCGCACGGGUGUGACCAAGUAUUCAGUAUUCUACGUGCCUGUUUUCCAAAAAGGAAGCUCCCCCCCCCCCGCCAAAAAAAGGCAAAAAAUGAUGGUCACUUUUUUCACUUAUAUGUGACAAAGUAUAUCUAAGAAACAACUCUUUCUAUUACAGCCAAUCAAAGCAGAAAAAGAAUACUUGUACCUAAUCAAGUUCAAGGAUAAACUUUAUUCAGUCUCCAGGUUUCACCUGCUUGUUUAAGUGGACUGCGCAUUAUAUAUUAUUGUAGCACUGUCAAACUUCUUGGAUCUAAUAAUGUUCUCCAUCUUCUAAUACAUUUAUUAUCGCAGCAGCCUAUUCCUGGAGACUUCUUUACCAUUUUUAAGUAAGUUCUCAUCUAUGCCAUGGUUCAAUGUUUUCAUAUAUAAAAUGGACAUAAUAAAGGCAUCUAUUAGGUUCUCAUGAGGAAGCGCUGAGGAAGAAAUCAGAGACACAAGUAAGACAUUCAAAACAGCACAAUGAACAAUUAAGAAGGGUUAAAUAGGGUUAUAUUAAACUAUUUAAAAUUAAUUUAGGAGUUUUUUUUUUCUUUUUUUUCUUUUUAGGGCUGUACCUGCAGCAUAUGGAGGUUCCCCAGCCAGGGGUUCAGUCAGAGCUACAGCUGCAGGCCUGUGCCACAGCUGCAGCUCCAGGCCUACGCCACACCAGAUCCCAGCCACAUGUGCAACCGCAGUUUGUGACAAGGCCAGAUUCUUAAUCCACUGAGUGAGUUAAGGGAUCGAACCCACAUUCUCAUGGAUACUAUGUCCAGUUCCUAACCUGCUGACGCACAAUGGGAACUCCUGAAGAAAUGCACUUUAAAAAUAAGUAUUUAUUUAUUACAUGCUCCCAUGCAUUUUGGAUGAUGUAUCAGAAAGUAUACUCUCUGAAUUAAGAGGUGCAGGAUAAGAGGUUUUCCUUUUCCUUUCAUUAAGAGGUCUACCAAUGGCUCCCCAAAAGCUCACUCUUUCUUUCCUUCUCCUGUUCUUCUUUCUUUUCUCUCUCACAUUUCUACCUCACAUGCUGGUAUAGAAUUAAAAUCCUAUGUGAUCAAGAACACAAUAAAAUGCUUAGGUUUGAAACUCUUACCAGAUGCCUCUUGAUAGCACAUCCUUCCCCCUCCACCCUCUUCCAGCCCCCUCUACCCCUCCCACCCCGGCUAAACUGUUUCCUUACCUCCAGCUGACACCUUGACAAAAACUGAACCCCAGCGCCUAGCAUGUAGACCUAUAAUUUGCCAUUUUAUUUUUCAGUCUCAGCAGGGUGCGUCCUGUUGCCAAGGAUUUCCCACUCUGAAAUGAAAGAUAAAACAGACACCUGCAGAAUUCUCUUACAGUUUGUCCUUCAUCCUGGUGAAGAGCCUGAAUAGGGCAGCAGAAAAGGUUUCCAGGAUGAGAGGGGGAUAAUAUUCAGUGCUGGGAGGAACUCCUGUGGUGAAUGCCAAGAAGAUUGUUUUGUGCAAAGGGCAGUCACUCCCGUCCCCAGGGAAUGGAAGGAAAACCAGCUCCUUGAACAAAAAAAGAUUUUACUUUUGGAUCUUCUUUUCAGUGGAUUUGGCCAGGCCACUUUCUUCCAUUUUUUAACUGAUUUUAUGAGAGAUCUGGUUGACCUAGGAUGUUGACACAAUAUACGACACAGUUUGUGGUUCAGAUUGGUAUAGAAGUGACUGUUCAAUGGUUCAUGAGAUCCAACCUCAGGAUAAAAUGCCCCUCUACCUAAAGUUCAGAGACAAGAGCCAUCCGCUUUGUUCCUACUGCUUCAACCUCUUUCAAACCCCGUCACAGCUAGUGCAUUUCUUGGUGUAUUUCUGUCAUCACAUUCACCAUCUAAGUACUAUAAUGCUUUCUUCUUCCUUGUCAUCACUGGGUAAGUUUCUAGGCCCAAAAGCAGACAGAGAAUGCACAACUGAUAUUAAAACAGAAUAUUACAUUAUACCACAAGCAGUAUGGAGGCAAAUCCUGUUUGCCUCCACAACAAACGCUGUUGUUACACUGUAGUUUUUCCUGACUAAAGGUGUUGAAAAAUGCGUCUCCAGGGAAUGCUUUUCCAUCACGUGUAGCAGCAGAGCUCCACCUCAAAAAUAUUAUGGUGCUUGUGAACCUCACUUCCUGCCAUCCACUUUCUAUUUUCCAGUGCUUUCCUUUUCGGAUAUUUUUUUUUCACACCUAUUACAAAGCAUAAAAACAGAAAUAAUCUGCUCUCACUCUGUUCAGAAGGGGAGAUAAGGAAGAAAGGAUACUAGCAUAAAAAAAAAUAAAAAGCUCUGCUUACGUACACUCUUUGACCCAUUUAUUCAUUCAGUAAAUAUUUAUGGAGGGCCUACUCUGCCAAGUGUGGUAACAAGUACCGGUUUACAGCGGAGAAAAAGAAAGACAAGAUUCUCGCUUUGUGAAAUAUUCAUUUGUCAGCGGAAAGAGAAUGGACAAUAAACAAAUAAGUCCAUGAAAAUAUCAGAUUUUUUAUUUUUGAUUACAGAGUCUCCUAGACAAUAAUAAACACUGCGAAGAAGGCAGUGAUGGGAUGGGGGCGUGGGGGAGAAGGCGGGAGAGGGACUUUCGAUUCAGGUGAUAAGUUCUCCCCGAGAUGAUGUUUAGCUAAGACGUGGACGUCAAGAAGGAGCCAAAUGCUCGAGAUCCAGGAACAGAGGGUUCCCAGUGGAAGGGACAGCGAAUGCAAAGCUCUGAGGAAAGAGAGCUCUUGGCUAAGGUGUCUGGAGCAGAGCCAGCUAGGGAGGAAGCAGUGUGGAAGAAAUCUGAGAGGUGGCCAGGGGCCGAAUUGCAUAGCCCAAGGGAAGAAUACGGCCAUAACUUACCCUGUUUGUGAAAGGGUAAGAGUGCAGAUAUUCAGCAGGAAGAGGGAGUGCAGCCUAAAGGUGGGUAAAGAUCAAACGACUUAGGGGGGGAAAUGGGGUCAUAGAUACAGCUCUCACUUUGAAUCUAUCUCUAAAAAUAGGACAUGGCAGCCUUGAGCAGAGUCAGGUAGCAAAUCUGUCACCUUCUUGCACAUGUGGGUAUCAGCCUCUCCUUGUACCAGUGUAUUGGAAAGACAAUAUCCUGAAAUACUGUUAGGAAAGAAUACAUUUUACUCGUUAUACCCACAAUGUGGCUAUAAAGGGUAAAGAUCCACGUGGUUAUAAUGUGUUAUAAACCAGCAAAGAUCCACAGGCGGGAAGCAAAGAGUGGAAGAGAAGGUUCAAAAUGAAACAAUUCCAUUCAGACGGUAAGAUAAGGAACUACUUAGUUGUCUCUUGAAUGUUAUAAUAACAUUUUCAUAGUAAAAAAAAAAAAAAAUCGGGGUUUUUUUUUUUUGGCUUUUAGGGUGUAAAAGCAUACAUUUACAACUAAGAAGAAAAGUUUUCAGUACUUGAAAACCAGAAAGUUAAUUUCGAUUCUCAUUCAAAGUAUCUCAUUUGGUCUAGGUAUUAUAGAGCACCAUGAGAUAUAAUGAUGGUAAUUUGAAUUAAUAGGUUAUCACUUUACAGAAGUCUAAAAGAUUUUAAGAGAAGGGACAGGAUUCAAUGAGCAUCCAGCUGUUCAUCAGUUAAUUGAGUUCUUUAAAAUAUACAGUAAGUGUUAGAUACUGUUAUAAAGAUUCUCAGUAUGAACCAAUCACAGGGCAAUACCACACAAGAUGCCUGCUUUAUGAAUUUUGCGCUCAGCAUGUUUUCCAACUGGCUUAUAUUCCUUAGGAGAUAAGUUGUUCCCCAAAUAAUUAAGCACUUACAUCUUUAAUGUGUUUUUGCAAUCUGGCCUAAUGAUGUGACAGAGGGAAUGGCCAAAGUGUCAUAUGGCCUAUGGAUAUGAAACUGUCCCAAGUGACCAGCUGUCCUUCUGUUAAGAUGGCUCCACAUUGUUUAUCAACUUGUGUGUUUACUAUAUCAGUUUUCUGGAGCUCUGACUUGUUUUAGAUAUAUUUUUAAUGUUUCUAUCAAGAAUAGGAGUUCUUCCUAGGUGUAAAUCAUUGAACAAUGAUUUCUUAGCUCUGAUGUCAAAAGAAAAAGCAAGCAACAACAGGAAAAAUAGAUAACUUAAACCUCAUCAAAAUUAAACAGUUUUGUUAUUCUGAUACAUCAUUACCAAUGGGAAAAGACAAUCUUCAUGCUAAGAGAAAAUACUUACCCUUUACGCAUCUGGUAAGGUAAGGGACUUGUAUGAAGAAUGUAUAAAGAAGUUUUACAGCUCAAUAAUGAAAGAAAAUCCCAUUUGAAAAUGAGAAGAGAAUCUCAAUAGAUAUUUCUUUAUAAAUAUAGCAAUUGGCCAAUAACCACAUGAAAAUAUUCUCAACAUUAUUGACUAUCAGGGAAACACAAAUCAAAACCACAAUAAGAUACUCACUGCUAGGCUGGCUACAGUCAAGAAGACAGAAAACAACAAGAGUCAUCAAGAAAGCAGAGAAUUUAGGAGUUUCCCCAUAUGGCUCAGUGGAAACAAACCCAACCAGUAUCCAUAAAGUUGCAGGCUUGAUCCCUGGCCCCCCGCUCAGUGGGUUAAGGAUCCAGCGUUGCGGUGAGACGUGGUGUAGGUCAUGGAAUUGGCUUGGAUCUGGCACUGCUGUGGCUGUGGCGCAGGCUGGCAGUUUUAGCUCUGAUUCAACCCCUAGCCUGGGAAGUUCCAUAUGCCGCAGGUGUGGCC